CACGUAGGGCGCAAGCGUUGUCCGGAAUUAUUGGGCGUAAAGAGCUCGUAGGUGGUUUGUUACGUCCGCUGUGAAAUCCUAGGGCUUAACCCUGGGCUUGCAGUGGAUACGGGCAGACUAGAGGUAGGUAGGGGAGAAUGGAAUUCCUGGUGUAGCGGUGAAAUGCGCAGAUAUCGAGGAGGAACACCAAUAGACGAAGGCAGCUGCGCUGGGACGGUAU
rnacentral:rRNA from 1 species